GAUGAACGCUGGCGGCGUGCCUAAUACAUGCAAGUCGAGCGAACAGACGAGGAGCUUGCUCCUCUGACGUUAGCGGCGGACGGGUGAGUAACACGUGGAUAACCUACCUAUAAGACUGGGAUAACUUCGGGAAACCGGAGCUAAUACCGGAUAAUAUAUUGAACCGCAUGGUUCAAUAGUGAAAGACGGUUUUGCUGUCACUUAUAGAUGGAUCCGCGCCGCAUUAGCUAGUUGGUAAGGUAACGGCUUACCAAGGCAACGAUGCGUAGCCGACCUGAGAGGGUGAUCGGCCACACUGGAACUGAGACACGGUCCAGACUCCUACGGGAGGCAGCAGUAGGGAAUCUUCCGCAAUGGGCGAAAGCUUGACGGAGCAACGCCGCGUGAGUGAUGAAGGUCUUCGGAUCGUAAAACUCUGUUAUUGGGGAAGAACAAAUGUGUAAGUAACUAUGCACGUCUUGACGGUACCCAAUCAGAAAGCCACGGCUAACUACGUG
rnacentral:rRNA from 1 species